rnacentral:sRNA from 1 species
UCUAUUCCAAUGACUGUUUUUUCUUAGUUCUUCUUUUUGUAUUCCCUCCAGCUCUAUUGGCCGACACCCUCUCUAGCCACAAACUGCUUACCCCUCCAGAUCGCACCUUCAGGUGGCCGCGGACCAUCGUUUACCAGCGCCUUCACCCACUUGGUCUUCCGGUGCAUAUGCUCGAUGCGGAUGCCCACUCCAGGCGCCUGACCGGCUGACAUCGCUACUUCCCCGCCGGCUCCUGCGCACGGGUCCACUGGCCUGGGCGACCUUUGUGUCCGUCGGUACAUCCGCCGCGGGUGAUUCCGCCGUAGCUCCUCGUCCUCUCGGAAGGUCCAAGGGGAUGUUAUCUUGGCUGGACUGUGGCAGUGGCUGCUACGAACAUGCUACGAGCUAUAGCCAGUCGACAACGUGGCGUCCCAUCCGCUGCAGCAAGGACCCGUAAUCGACGGCGGAAUUGUUGGUUCACGUCCGCGGGAUAUAUUGUGAGCAAGCAGCCCCUUUAUACGCCGCCGAAUCAAACACUGGGCUUCAUCUUCGACACGCAGGACUAAUGUACCCUAUGUUUUGCAACAAAACGGAUCGUGUCCGACAGCAGGACAGAAGCGCACCCCUUGCACAAUCGGAACCUAACAAUCCAUCUUUAUUCUUCGACAUGGUCAUCGACAACGAGGACUUUGACUAUGGCAACCAAGGAAGGUGCUACGCGGGCUACUAGACUCUAGAUAGAUAUCG